GGUUAAGCGACUAAGCGUACACGGUGGAUGCCCUGGCAGUCAGAGGCGAUGAAGGACGUGCUAAUCUGCGAUAAGCGCCGGUAAGGUGAUAUGAACCGUUAUAACCGGCGAUUUCCGAAUGGGGAAACCCAGUGUGACUCGUCACACUAUCAUUAACUGAAUCCAUAGGUUAAUGAGGCGAACCGGGGG
rnacentral:rRNA from 1 species